rnacentral:rRNA from 1 species
CCUACGAGUGGCAGCAGUAGGGAAUCUUCCACAAUGGGCGAAAGCCUGAUGGAGCAACGCCGCGUGGGUGAAGAAGGUCUUCGGAUCGUAAAACCCUGUUGUUAGAGAAGAAAGUGCGUGCGAGUAACUGUUCACGUUUCGACGGUAUCUAACCCAAAAGCCACGGCUAACUACGUGCCAGCAGCCGCGGUAAUACGUAGGUGGCAAGCAUUAUCCGUCUUUUUUGGGCGUAAAGGGAACGCAGGCGGUCUUUUAAGUCUGAUGUGAAAGCCUUCGGCUUAACCGGAGUAGUGCAUUGGAAACUGGGAGACUUGAGUGCAGAAGAGGAGAGGGGAACUCCAUGUGUAGCGGUGAAAUGCGUAGAUAUAUGGAAGAACACCAGUGGCGAAAGCGGCUCUCUGGUCUGUAACUGACGCUGAGGUUCGAAAGCGUGGGUAGCAAACAGGAUUAGAUACCCGAGUAGUC